UACGUAGGGGGCAAGCGUUGUCCGGAAUCAUUGGGCGUAAAGCGCGCGUAGGCGGCCCGGUAAGUCCGCUCUGAAAGUCCAGGGCUCAACCCUGGAAAGCGGGUGGAUACUGCCGGGCUAGAAUCCGGAAGAGGCGAGUGGAAUUCCUGGUGUAGCGGUGAAAUGCGCAGAUAUCAGGAGGAACACCAAUUGCGAAGGCAGCUCGCUGGGACGUUACUGACGCUGAGACGCGAAAGCGUGGGGAGCAAACAGG
rnacentral:rRNA from 1 species